rnacentral:rRNA from 1 species
GUGGGGGAUAUUGCACAAUGGGGGAAACCCUGAUGCAGCGACGCCGCGUGAAGGAAGACGUACUUCGGUAUGUAAACUUCUAUCAGCAGGGAAGAAGAUGACGGUACCUGACUAAGAAGCCCCGGCUAACUACGUGCCGGCAGCCGCGGUAAUACGUAGGGGGCAAGCGUUAUCCGGAUUUACUGGGUGUAAAGGGAGCGUAGACGGUGAAGCAAGUCUGAUGUGAAAACCCGGGGCUCAACUCCGGGAUUGCAUUGGAAACUGUUUUACUUGAGUGCUGGAGGGGCAAGCGGAAUUCCUGGUGUAGCGGUGAAAUGCGUAGAUAUCAGGAAGAACACCGGUGGCGAAGGCGGCUUGCUGGACAGUAACUGACGUUGAGGCUCGAAAGCGUGGGGAGCAAACAGGAUUAGAUACCCGUGUAGUCC